ACUCCUACGGGAGGCAGCAGUAGGGAAUCUUCCACAAUGGGCGCAAGCCUGAUGGAGCAACACCGCGUGAGUGAAGAAGGGUUUCGGCUCGUAAAGCUCUGUUGUUAAAGAAGAACACGUAUGAGAGUAACUGUUCAUACGUUGACGGUAUUUAACCAGAAAGUCACGGCUAACUACGUGCCAGCAGCCGCGGUAAUACGUAGGUGGCAAGUGUUAUCCGGAUUUAUUGGGCGUAAAGAGAGUGCAGGCGGUUUUCUAAGUCUGAUGUGAAAGCCUUCGGCUUAACCGGAGAAGUGCAUCGGAAACUGGAUAACUUGAGUGCAGAAGAGGGUAGUGGAACUCCAUGUGUAGCGGUGGAAUGCGUAGAUAUAUGGAAGAACACCAGUGGCGAGGGCGGCUACCUGGUCUGCAACUGACGCUGAGACUCGAAAGCAUGGGUAGCGAACAGGAUUAGAUACCCUGGUAGGAUAGCG
rnacentral:rRNA from 1 species